GACGUUUAUUGGGCCUAAAGCAUCCGUAGCCGGUUCUACAAGUCUUCCGUUAAAUCCACCUGCUUAACAGAUGGGCUGCGGAAGAUACUAUAGAGCUAGGAGGCGGGAGAGGCAAGCGGUACUCGAUGGGUAGGGGUAAAAUCCGUUGAUCCAUUGAAGACCACCAGUGGCGAAGGCGGCUUGCCAGAACGCGCUCGACGGUGAGGGAUGAAAGCUGGGGGAGCAAACCGG
rnacentral:rRNA from 1 species